rnacentral:lncRNA from 1 species
GGCUCCCUGUCUGUGACAGAGUAGGCUGAGGUGGCUGCGUAUGGAGCUCUCUACCAGCUGCACUGUGCUGGGUGUGCAGCGAGGGUGUCCCUGACCUCCUGGACUUCAGGCUCUACUCUGGAAUGUCCUGGCAGAAGGUUCUGCAGAGGCUCCAAGCCCGUCCAUGGCCUGCAGGCCGAACCUCCCCUUCUCUCUGCAUGUGGGUGCUUUUUGCAGCCAAUGUGAGACAAGGCUUUUGCUCUCCAUACCAGCUGUGUGAGUGAGCUCCUCCAAAUCCCCCGCUCCAUCCUAUCUGCUGCCCCAGCUGGCUUCAAGGAGACCAGAUCUGCAAGGACCACACAUGCAAGACCCCUGGCUACCAAGGGCAUCCCCAGGGCCAGCACCCUACCAGCAGCUGCGCUCCAGCCUUGGGAACAACCCACUGCCUUAAACAAAUAUGGGCUGCAUGGAGAAAUGAGAACAUCUUUAACCACUCUGGAGGGAUGUAGGCCGUGCUUACAUGACUUGGAUGUUUACUUGAUGAACAGCGAACUGAUGUGGUCUCCUCGCUCCCUUCCAGCCCUUGGGAACCACUUGUGAAAUGAGUAGCAAUUGUUCUCUGCUCAAUUAGUCAUCUGUAAGUGAAUGCCUCGUGGUGGCCAUCCCCUGAGUGG